GAUGAACGCUGGCGGCGUGCUUAACACAUGCAAGUCGAACGAAGCACUUUAUUUGAUUUCCUUCGGGACUGAUUAUUUUGUGACUGAGUGGCGGACGGGUGAGUAACGCGUGGGUAACCUGCCUUGUACAGGGGGAUAACAGUUGGAAACGGCUGCUAAUACCGCAUAAGCGCACAGCAUCGCAUGAUGCAGUGUGAAAAACUCCGGUGGUAUAAGAUGGACCCGCGUUGGAUUAGCUAGUUGGUGAGGUAACGGCCCACCAAGGCGACGAUCCAUAGCCGACCUGAGGGGGUGACCGGCCACAUUGGGACUGAGACACGGCCCAAACUCCUACGGGAGGCAGCAGUGGGGAAUAUUGCACAAUGGGCGAAAGCCUGAUGCAGCGACGCCGCGUGAGCGAAGAAGUAUUUCGGUAUGUAAAGCUCUAUCAGCAGGGAAGAUAAUGACGGUACCUGACUAAGAAGCACCGGCUAAAUACGUG
rnacentral:rRNA from 1 species